rfam:Collinsella tanakaei YIT 12063 genomic scaffold supercont1.5, whole genome shotgun sequence.
GCAGCCACAUUAGGAGAGGGUCGGCGUGUCGCGGCGCCGGUUCAAUCAGAGGGAAUCAGGUGCGAAUCCUGAGCAAGGGCCAUUACUGUGUGGAAGCGCCGGCGCGCUUUCGAGCCAGGGCGCUCUGCCUUCUCCUCGCGGACUCG